AUGCUUGCGAAACAAUGCUGGAGGCUGAUAACUAAACCAAAAUCUUUGGUGGCGAGAGUGCUUAAAGAAAAGUAUUACCCAAAUGGGUCUCUACUGGAGGCAACACCAAAGAAUGGCUCCUCGUUUACUUGGCAAAGUAUUCUGAAAGGGCUUGACACCUUCAAAAAAGGUCAUAUAUGGAGAACUAGAAUUGGAGAGAAGGUAAACAUUUGGAGAGACCCAUGGAUUCCAUCUAGUGUAGACAGAAUGAUAAUCACUCCAAGAGGUCAAACAAUCAUUACGAGAGUAUGUGAAUUAAUUGAUCCAGUUAAUGGGCCAUGGGACGAAGCCUUGAUUACAGAGUUGUUUAAUCCGGUGGAUGUUCGUAGAAUACUCCAGAUUCCAUUACAUUUGCAAGGUUUUGGUGACUUUAUUGCUUGGCACCCGAAUAGAACAGGAAUGAUUUCCGUCAGAAGUGCUUAUCAUAUGCAAUGGAUGCAUAGGUUUCGGGCGCAUGCAACGAUGGAGGGACACCCUGGUGGGUCUACACCAUUGGCAGUCUGA
rnacentral:rRNA from 1 species